UCUGGAAAAGGAGACUAUGGGCACUGUGACAGAGUGGAAUAUGUCCGAGUCAAAUUAUGAACAUUAUCUUGUUUUAUGUGUGGAAAUGUUGGACACUGACUGCACAAGCCUGGACAUGCGCAAAGACUCCUUAAAGGACUAACACUAAGAGCCAUCAAGACUGCAAACUAAGGAAGCAGCUCCUUCAAAAGGUUUCCAAGAUGAAAGCCUUUUUUAAAGUGGCAGAAUACCAUUACCUGAAACUACAUGACAGAACCUCCUUCAGUAACUCAAAUUAUGCAGCACCCAAGCCAAGAAAAUAUACUUUAAAGAAUGCGGAUUUUUAACUGCAUGACCUAUAUCUUCUGUGCAUCUACCUUUCUUGUUUUUUUCAGUUGCUUUCUCCUCGUUGUUUUCUCUGUUUUUGAGUUUAUCCUGAUCAGGCAUAGAGCUCAUAUUUAUAAGAGCUCGUGUUGCUGUCACUUCAUCAAGCCAGACUACAUUACCUAAAACAAAAAACCCAUACAAAAAUAGUUCUAGUUAGCUAAAAUUUUCCACACAGGCUCUUAAGAUUAUAUCCUUUAUCUUACAGUCCUUUAUGUAGAAGACAAAUUACUAGUAUAAAACUUCAGUCACAUAAUAAGUAUAUAAAGUUAUAUGUACCAACAGGAAGGGAGAUUAUCAGCUGUGUUUCAUAAAGGGAAAACAAAUCCUUUAGCAUGUUUGAUCAGCAGGAGACAACUCUGAUCACAAAGGACAACAUAGGCCAUACACCAUAUUAUUUUCUGAUCAAAACUAAAAAAAACAAAACAAAAACAAAAAAACACGCUGAAAUGAUUAAGGUCUACAUAAAUAAUAGAUGUCAAGUAUCAGAGGGGUAGCCGUGUUAGUCUGAAUCUGUAAAAAGCAACAGA